GCCUGGGUGGCUCAGUCGGUUAAGCAUCUGACUUCGGCUCAGGUCCUGAUCUCACGGUUCGUGAGUUCAAGCCUCGCAUUGGGCU
rfam:Felis catus isolate Cinnamon breed Abyssinian chromosome E3, whole genome shotgun sequence.